AGAGUGGUUAGUGAUGGAGUCAAGUAUGUUGCAAGUAGGUUCGAUCAUUAACUGAUUGAAAUUAGUUAAAUUAAUUAAAUUGUCCAAUGCACCACUCUUUGCAUUUUUCAAGAUAUGUUGAAAUAUUUGAAGCUUCCUGUGCUUUUUAACUUUUAAAUAAAGUUGUAUUGUACAGGCUAUUACGAAAUAGUUUAAAUUAAGUGAAGAAAAGCAUAAAUAACAUGAAGCAAAUGAUAUGGCCAGUUGUUUAGUCAAGUAGAAAGUAAAACCGAAUUUACACUGUGUGGUUUCAUGCCGCAAUUUCACAGCGGAUGAUUAAUCGAAAAACAUCACUGUCGUCCUCCUCGUUUCAUCCGCAAUGAUUCUCCAAGGUUCGUUCAGUUCGCGAAGGUGCGACGAUCUUGGCAAAAAGAGACCUCAAGUGGAAUUUCUCCGAACAACACCGAACAGUGCGCGACAAUGAAGGG